GUCCCCCUUGUGGUCGGUGUACAGGUGGUGCAUGGCUGUCGUCAGCUCGUGUGAGGGGUGUUGGGUUAAGUCCCGCAACGAGCGCAACCCUUGUCCCGUGUUGCCAGCAGGCCCUUGUGGUGCUGGGGACUCACGGGAGACCGCCGGGGUCAACUCGGAGGAAGGUGGGGACGACGUCAAGUCAUCAUGCCCCUUAUGUCUUGGGCUGCACACGUGCUACAAUGGCCGGUACAAUGAGCUGCGAUACCGCGAGGUGGAGCGAAUCUCAAAAAGCCGGUCUCAGUUCGGAUUGGGGUCUGCAACUCGACCCCAUGAAGUCGGAGUCGCUAGUAAUCGCAGAUCAGCAUUGCUGCGGUGAAUACGUUCCCGGGUCUUGUACACACCGA
rnacentral:rRNA from 1 species